rnacentral:rRNA from 1 species
UUCUAUAAGACAUUAUUUAUAGUAAAAUCUGCUCAAUGAUAUUUUAAUAGCCGCCAUUCGUGCUAAGGUAGUAAAAUAAUUAGUCUUUUAAUUGAAGACCAUUCAAAUGAUUCAACAUUUAAAUUAUUUUUUUUUUUAAAAAACUUAAAUUUUUUCUAAAUGUAAAAAGACAUUUAUAUAAUAGAAAGACGAUAAGACCCUAUUGAAUUUUACUUCAGUUUAACUGGGGAAGUUAAUUAAAAAUCACUUUAAUUCUAAUUUUUUCUUAAAGGACCUAUUAAAAUUAAUUAAAUGAACAAAUUACCAUAGGGAUAACAGCGUUAUUAUUUUUAAAGAUCUUAUUUUUAAAUAAAAUUGCGACCUCGAUGUUGAAUAAUAUUCUUUCCUACGCAAUAGUUUGUAUAAGAAAGUCUGUUCGACUUUUAAUAAAUUACA